AUGAGCUCGGCUCCGCCGUAGCCAAGGAGGACACGGCGCUCCGCGCCGCCAUCCCCGUCCGGCAGCGGGUUGCCGUUUGCGUGUGGCGACUUGCCACUGGCGAGCCUCUCCGGCUCGUCUCCCGGCGGUUCGGCCUCGGUAUCUCCACCUGUCAUAAGCUCGUUCUCGAAGUCUGCACCGCCAUCCGGAACGUUCUCUUGCCGCGAUUGCUCCUCUGGCCCGCCCCAUCCGAAGCAGCCUCCGCAGCCGCGCGCUUCGAGGCUCUCUCCGGCAUCCCCAACGUCGUCGGCGCCAUGUACACAACCCACAUCCCCAUCAUCGCCCCCAAGGAGAGCGCCGCCACCUACUUCAACCGCCGCCACACCGAGCGCAACCAGAAGACCUCCUACACCGUCACCAUCCAAGGCGUCGUCGACCCCGACGGCGUCUUCACCGACGUCUGCAUCGGGUGGCCCGGGUCGAUGCCGGACGACCAAGUGCUCGAGAAAUCGG
rnacentral:lncRNA from 1 species